rnacentral:rRNA from 1 species
UACGGAGGGUGCAAGCGUUAAUCGGAAUUACUGGGCGUAAAGCGUGCGCAGGCGGUUUGUUAAGUCCGUUGUGAAAGCCCCGAGCUCAACUUGGGAAUUGCAGUGGAUACUGGCAGGCUGGAGUACGGUAGAGGAAGGUGGAAUUCCCGGUGUAGCAGUGAAAUGCGUAGAUAUCGGGAGGAACACCGACGGCGUAGGCAGCGCCCUGGCUGUGAAUAAAGCUGACACUGAGGCACGAAAGCUGGGGGAGCAAACAGG